GGUUACUGCUAUCGGGGUCCGACUAAGCCAUGCGAGUUGAGAGGGGUAAGCCCUCGGCAUACUGCUCAGUAACACGCGGAUAACCUGCCCUUGGGUCCGGGAUAACCCCGGGAAACUGGGACUAAUACCGGAUAGAUCAGAGAAACUGGAAUGUUCUCUGGUCCAAAACUCCGGUGCCCAAGGAUGGGUCUGCGGCCUAUCAGGUAGUAGUGGGUGUAACGUACCUACUAGCCAGCGACGGGUAAGGGUUGUGAGAGCAAGAUCCCUGAGAUGGAUUCUGAGACAUGAAUCCAGGCCCUACGGGGUGCAGCAGGCGCGAAAACUUUACACUGCGGGAAACCGCGAUAAGGGGACCCCGAGUGCCAGCACCUAGUGCUGGCUGUCCUACUGUCUAAAUAACAGUGGUUAGCAAGGGCCGGGCAAGACCGGUGCCAGCCGCCGCGGUAACACCGGCGGCCCGAGUGGUAACCGUUUUUAUUGGGUUUAAAGGGUCCGUAGCCGGCUUACUAAGUCUCUUGGGAAAUCUGGCGGCUCAAUCGUCAGGCGGCCAAGAGAUACUGGUAGGCUUGGGACCGGGAGAGGUGGGAGGUACUCCAGGGGUAGGGGUGAAAUCUCGUAAUCCUUGGGGGACCACCGAUGGCGAAGGCAUCCCACCAGAACGGGUCCGACGGUGAGGGACGAAAGCUGGGGGCACGAACCGGAUUAGAUACCCGGGUAGUCCCAGCUGUAAACGAUGCUCGCUAGGUGUCAGGUGCGGUGCGACCGCAUCUGGUGCCGCAGUGAAAACUUGAAGCGAGUCACCUGGGAAGUACGGUCGCAAGGCUGAAACUUAAAGGAAUUGGCGGGGGAGCACUACAACGGGUGGAGCCUGCGGUUC
rnacentral:rRNA from 1 species